rnacentral:rRNA from 1 species
GACGAACGCUGGCGGCGUGCUUAACACAUGCAAGUCGAACGGAAAGGCCUUUUCGGCGGUACUCGAGUGGCGAACGGGUGCGUAACACGUGGGUGAUCUGCCCUGCACUCUGUGUUACGCCUGGGUAACUGGUCCUAAUACCGCCUAGUACCGCACGCUGGCGUGUGUGGUGGUCUGUUUAUUCGGUGAAGGUUGAGCCGGCGGCCUAUCAGCUUGUUGGUGGGGGGUUGGGCUAAGAAGGCGGCGACAGAUAGCCGUACCGAGAGUUGGGUUGGCCACACGGGGAAUGAGACUAGGCCAAGACUCCGACGGGAGGCAGCAGCGGGGAGUGUUGCACAAUGGGCGCCAGCCUGAGGCAGCGACGCCGCGUGGGUGAUGACGACCUUCGGGUUGUACACUGCUUUCGCCAGGGACGAAGCGUUUUGUGACGGUACCUGGAGAAGAAGCACCGGCUAACUACGUG